rnacentral:rRNA from 1 species
GACGAACGCUGGCGGCGUGCCUAAUACAUGCAAGUUGAGCGCUGAAGGUUGGUACUUGUACCAACUGGAUGAGCAGCGAACGGGUGAGUAACGCGUGGGGAAUCUGCCUUUGAGCGGGGGACAACAUUUGGAAACGAAUGCUAAUACCGCAUAAAAACUUUAAACACAAGUUUUAAGUUUGAAAGAUGCAAUUGCAUCACUCAAAGAUGAUCCCGCGUUGUAUUAGCUAGUUGGUGAGGUAAAGGCUCACCAAGGCGAUGAUACAUAGCCGACCUGAGAGGGUGAUCGGCCACAUUGGGACUGAGACACGGCCCAAACUCCUACGGGAGGCAGCAGUAGGGAAUCUUCGGCAAUGGACGAAAGUCUGACCGAGCAACGCCGCGUGAGUGAAGAAGGUUUUCGGAUCGUAAAACUCUGUUGGUAGAGAAGAACGUUGGUGAGAGCGGAAAGCUCAUCAAGUGACGGUAACUACCCAGAAAGGGACGGCUAACUACGU